rnacentral:rRNA from 1 species
GAACUUAAGCAUAUCAAUAAGCGGAGGAAAAGAAACCAACAGGGAUUGCCUCAGUAACGGCGAGUGAAGCGGCAACAGCUCAAAUUUGAAAUCUGGCCGCAAGGUCCGAGUUGUAAUUUGUAGAGGAUGCUUUUGGCGAGGUGCCUUCCGAGUUCCCUGGAACGGGACGCCAUAGAGGGUGAGAGCCCCGUACGGUAGGACCACCAAGCCUCUGUAAAGCUCCUUCGACGAGUCGAGUAGUUUGGGAAUGCUGCUCUAAAUGGGAGGUGUACGUCUUCUAAAGCUAAAUACCGGCCAGAGACCGAUAGCGCACAAGUAGAGUGAUCGAAAGAUGAAAAGCACUUUGAAAAGAGGGUUAAAAAGUACGUGAAAUUGUUGAAAGGGAAGCAUUCAUGACCAGACUUGGGCUUGGUUGAACAUCCGGCGUUCUCGCCGGUGCACUCUGCCAGUCCAGGCCAGCAUCAGUUUGCCCCGGGGGAUAAAGGCGGCGGGAAUGUGGCUCCCUUCGGGGAGUGUUAUAGCCCGUCGUGUAAUGCCCUGGGGCGGACUGAGGAACGCGCUUCGGCACGGAUGCUGGCGUAAUGGUCAUCAAUGACCCGUCUUGAAACACGAACCAAGGAGUCGUCUUCGUAUGCGAGUGUUCGGGUGUCAAACCCCUACGCGUAAUGAAAGUGAACGUAGGUGAGAGCUUCGGCGCAUCACCGACCGAUCCUGAUGUUCUCGGAUGGAUUUGAGUAAGAGCAUACGGGGCCGGACCCGAAA